rnacentral:rRNA from 1 species
GGGGAAUAUUGCACAAUGGGCGCAAGCCUGAUGCAGCAACGCCGCGUGAGGGAUGACGGCCUUCGGGUUGUAAACCUCUUUUAGUAGGGAAGAAGCGAAAGUGACGGUACCUGCAGAAAAAGCACCGGCUAACUACGUGCCAGCAGCCGCGGUAAUACGUAGGGUGCAAGCGUUGUCCGGAAUUAUUGGGCGUAAAGAGCUCGUAGGCGGCUUGUCGCGUCUGCUGUGAAAUCCCGGAGCUCAACUCCGGGCCUGCAGUGGGUACGGGCAGGCUAGAGUGCGGUAGGGGAGAUUGGAAUUCCUGGUGUAGCGGUGGAAUGCGCAGAUAUCAGGAGGAACACCGAUGGCGAAGGCAGAUCUCUGGGCCGUAACUGACGCUGAGGAGCGAAAGCAUGGGGAGCGAAC